rnacentral:rRNA from 1 species
GACGAACGCUGGCGGCGUGCUUAACACAUGCAAGUCGAACGGAAAGGCCCCUUUGGGGGUACUCGAGUGGCGAACGGGUGAGUAACACGUGAGUAACCUGCCCUUGACUUCGGGAUAACUUCAGGAAACUGGGGCUAAUACCGGAUAGGAAUCCUUGCUGCAUGGUGGGGGUUGGAAAGCUUCGGCGGUUUUGGAUGGACUCGCAGCUUAUCAGCUUGUUGGUGGGGUAGUGGCUUACCAAGGCUUUGACGGGUAGCCGGCCUGAGAGGGCGACCGGCCACAUUGGGACUGAGAUACGGCCCAGACUCCUACGGGAGGCAGCAGUGGGGAAUAUUGCACAAUGGGCGGAAGCCUGAUGCAGCAACGCCGCGUGCGGGAUGACGGCCUUCGGGUUGUAAACCGCUUUCAGCAGGGGCGAAGCUUGUGGUGACGGUACCUGCAGAAGAAGCACCGGCUAACUACGUG